rnacentral:lncRNA from 1 species
GUUCAUUCGAUGAUCCUCAAAAUAUUAUGGACAUACAAAUUUGGAGGACUGUACAAAAAUCUUGCGAGAGUUUGGUAUCACUAAUUACCUUUCAAGAAGCAUUAUUAAAUGAAAAAGAAAAUGACAGUGACUAUAGCUGAAAUCGUAAGGGUAUAUGCAAAUUUUAUUCAUUGUUUGAGGAUGCACAUUUUCUUUGAGAUUUACUAAUCCUGAGCACGCAUGAAAUAGUUACCAAUUGGUGAUAAGCAACCAAC